GAUAAUUGGCUUGUGGGGGCCAAGCGUUCAUAGCGGCAUAGCUUUUUGCUCCUUUGAUAUCUUUUCUUGCUAUCAUUGUGAAGCAAAAUACACCAAGCGUUGGAUUAUUCACCCAUACAAGUGAACGUGAGCUGGGUUUAGUCCGUCCCGAAACAGAUU
rnacentral:ncRNA from 1 species